GGAAUAUUGCGCAAUGGCCGAAAGGCUGACGCAGCGACGCCGCGUGUGGGAGGAAGCCCUUCGGGGUGUAAACCACUGUCGGGAGGGACGAACCCCGGACGGGCGAAUAGCCCGGACGGCUGACGGUACCUUCAAAGGAAGCACCGGCUAACUCCGUGCCAGCCGCCGCGGUAAGACGGAGGGUGCACGCGUUGUUCGGAAUUACUGGGCGUAAAGCGCGGGCAGGUGGUCUUUUAAGUCCCUUGUGAAAUCCCGGGGCUCAACUCCGGAUGUGCGUGGGAUACUGGAAGACUGGAGACUGGUAGAGGCGAGCGGAAUUCCUGGUGUAGCGGUGGAAUGCGUAGAUAUCAGGAAGAACACCGGUGGCGAAGGCGGCUCGCUGGGCCAGCUCUGACACUCAUCCGCGAAAGCGUGGGGAGCAAAC
rnacentral:rRNA from 1 species